UCUUCGAGCUCAUUCUAUGCCUGCGAGCAGCAUCAUGAGAAGAAGUACUGCAGAAUGUUCGUCCACUGUCAGCUUUUUGUAAGAGGAGCGACGGUGACAACGAUAUAUUCAAGCUGCCCCAAUCACGAAUGCUCUUCAGAUAAACCAAAUGAACAAACGAAAUUAGCGAGCACUCUUGCGCACCGAAAGAGAACCACACCCUAUUCAUCACUGACUUCAGGGCUGACGGAGAAGCUAACCGCGGCCGGCUCGUGAUUCGACCAGUUUCGAUGACAAUGUGGCAGCUGCCAUCAAGAUUCAAGUCCAGCAGCUGCGUGAGUGCGUCCCUUCCUGAGCUGGGAGAAGGGGACAUGUGGGAAACAGGUAGCCUAAGCAUUAAAGCACUGGCCAGCAACAUAAAAGGGGAGGUAGACAAAAGUGGACAAGCGAACUUUGACAACACAGAGGAGCGUGGCAUGCGUGCCGAUGAGGUAGGUCAACCUCCCCCGACCUAGUGGUCUCGGGUUCAACAAUUGGUCUACGCAUCAGGAAGGGGAAAUGGACAGAGAAAGGGAGAAUGAGCAUGAGGAGCUUCCCAGGAGAGGAAGAGUGAGAGAGAGAGAGAGAGAGAGACAGAAAAUGAUAAUAAUAGAGACAACCGGUUAUUCUCAGUGCUGGUGGACUUCAGUGGCCCAUAGCCAAUUGGUCUGGCGGAGGUGAUGGUAGGCCUUGGU